AGAACUUUCGCAAGUACGACCGAGGAAGUUGCUGAGUCAUCUCUUUCCCUGUAAGUUGCUGGGGUUAGUGAGCUUCUGUCAGCCAUCUAGUUACCACUAGGGGAAGAUCUGUUCAAGAAUGGAGCAAUACACAUUUAAGCAGGACUGAGAGAUACAGAGCCAGGGACAGAAUCCUACAAACCUGGAGUAUUAAGUCCAUUUUCACACUGCUAUAAAGAUUACCCAAGAGCGGGUAAUGUAUAAAGGAAAGAGGCUUGACUCACAGUUCCGUAUGGCUGGGGAGGCCUCAAGAAGCUUACAAUCAUGGCAGAAGGCAAAGGGAAGACACACAUCUUCCUAGCAAGGUGGCAGGAGAGGGAAGUGAAGAGCCACAGGGAAGAGCCCCUUAUAAAGCUAUCCGAUCUCAUGAAACUCACCCACUAUCAUGAGAACAGCCUGGAGGAAACCAACCCCAUGAUUCAAUUACCUCCACCUGGCCUCUCCCUUUACACGUGGUGAUUAUGGGGAUUACAAUUCAAGAUGAGAUUUUGGGUGAGGACACAGCCAAACCAUAUCACCUGGUUUCUGGAUUCAGCCAGGCCAGGAGCUAACCCUACCUCCCGAACUUCUCAGUUCCACCCAGUGUCCACAUUAAUCUCAUGCUUAAUGAACAUUGAUUUGUUAAUACCUAUUUUUAUGCCUGGGAAAUAUUGAACAUAUUUGGGUUCUGAAAGCCUACAAAAUACCUCUUCACAAAAUGUCAGUUGUUUACGUUGUUUGGUAAAGAAGACUCAUGUGGUGAUAAAUUUUGACCUCUGGAACCACACAAUUGAAUUUGGAUCCCAACUCUGCCACUCACAAUUUGCAUGACUUUGAGCAAGUCACUCAGAAAUCUUUAAGCAGAGGAAGACCAGAGUGAAAAAUGUGAUUGAAAGAUCAUUUUCUGUGGAUGAUGGACUAAAGGAUGGAGAGGUCAGAGACGCAUUAUUAUUAUUAUUAUUAUUUUUUUGAGACGGAGUCUCGCUGUGUCGCCCAGGCUGGAGUACAGUGGCAUGAUCUCGGCUCGCUGCAACUUCUGCCUCCCGGGUUCAAGUGAUUCUCCUGUCUCAGCCUCCCAAGUAGCUGGGAUUACAGGCGCACGCCACCAUGCCUGGCUAAUUUUUGUAUUUUUUGUAGAGACGGUGUUUCACCAUGUUGGUCAGGCUGGUCUCGAACUCCUGACCUCAGGUAAUCCUCCUGCCUCAGCCUCCCAAAGUGCUGGGAUUACAGGCAUGAGCCACCGCACCCAGCCAGAAGCAUUAUUAAUGUUCAGGCAACAGCAAAUGAUAUUUUAGAGUAAUGGCAGCACCAUGUAGGAUGAAAACCAGGGAACAGACUGCAAAAAUUGCAAGGCUUAGUGGCAAACAGAAUGUUGAGUGAUGGGGGAGAUGAAAUGAGGAGCAGACUUUGUCCAAAUUCUUCCUAAGCAAUCUUAGUGAACAGACCUUAGUUUGUUCACCCCAGAGGGUCAACAAAACUAGCUCAAAUAUCUUUAUUUGGAGAUGCUAAAACAAAGAGAGAAAUACAGACCGCUAGCCAGGUAACAGGAUGCUUCUGAAUUCUAGUUUAUCUGUUAUUUUUGACAACGCAGUUUUGGGGUUAGAUCUGCAGCUUCCUUCUUCUUGAAGGACUUGAGCAGCUUCUCACCUCUGGGGCAGCAGAGGAAGAGCUUUCUGGCAGGUGAUGCUUUCAUCUCUUUGAGUUAAAGCUGUGUUCACCCAAGUGUUAGAGGAGUUCCACUGGUGGUACGUUAGGUGUUUUUGGGUGGAUCACAGAUUGGCUGGCUAUGCAGACAUUAAGUAACUCUGAAUGACACAGAAAGAAAAAGCUGUGUGAAGAUGCCUGUCUUCCCUUUGCCUUCCGCCAUGAUUGUAAGUUUCUGGAGGCCUCCCCAGCCAUACAGAACUGUGAGUCAAAACUCUUUCCUUUAAACUUUACCCACUCUUGGGUAUUCUUCCUUUCUUUCUUUCUUUCUCUUUCUUUCUUUUUUUUCUUUCUCUUUCUUUCUCUCUCUCUCUCUUUCUCUCUCUCCCUUCCUUCCUUCUUUUCUUUUCUUUCUUUCUUUUUUUUCUGACAGCAUCUUGCUCUGUUGCCUAGGCUGGCGUGCAGUUGUGCAAUCUCAGCUCACUGCAACCUCUGCCUCCUGGGUUCGAGCGAUUCUCCUGCCUGAGCCUCCUGAGCAGCUGAGAUUACAGACGCGUGCCACCAUGACUGGCUAAGUUUUGUAUUUUUAGUAAAGACAGGGUUUCUCGAACUGCUGAACUCAGGUAAUCCACCCGCCUGGACCUCCCAAAGUGUUGGGAUUACAGGUGUGAGCCACCACGCCCAGCCGGGUAUUCUUUAUAGCAGUGUGAAAAUGGACUAAUACACUAAGUUAGUAGGACUCUGUCCCUAGCUCUGUAUCUCUCAGCCUUUCAGGCGUCUUGAUUAUUUUGUUGAAGGGGAAAAAAUGAAAAAAAAUCAUGUGGGAACUAAAACAUCUUUUACACCUCUUUCUAGUACUUGCUAAUUCCCUUGUUUACUAGGGAGCAGAUCUCAGUUUCAAAACCUUGAGGAGGGCACAGUCUCUAGCUAGAGUUUAGUAAUAUGGUUGUGUCUUUGUUGAAUUUAUUUUUACACAUGCUUUCUAUUUAUGGCAAACGGAACUUGUUUUCCCAAUUAUAAUAGCUAUAUGCCUCUUUUGAAAAUAACUUAUUUUAUCCUAAGUAAAAUGACUCUGUUUAAAGGAAACUAAAGAAACGUGGCACACAGCCAUGGCAGAAAUUGAGAAAAGUGUCUACAAAUGAUGGCUGUCUAGGGCCACUGCUUCCAAAACAUUAUUCCUUGAUGGUUAAACCUCUGGCACUAUGGCAAACAUCAUCUUAGGAGGUUUAGCACUGAGAACAUCAUUCCAAUUAUACAUUGUAGCUAAAAGCCUACAGUGAGUAAAGGUGCCCUCUCUCUGGAUAGCAUAUGCUUCUUGGCACACUUGUCCUACCCCAGGAAGAAUCUCUCAGCACUGCUGGGUGUCUGCCCCUAACCUGUACUGAGAACAACCCUGCUGUGUAUGCAGCAUUCUUGUGGGAGCCUAGUGCGAUCUCCUCAACAAUGCCUAAACAAUCCAGGAGUUUGUUUCACUCAUUGUGAAUAAACACGCACAGCCGCGAUCUUUGGAGAUGUUCAGGCUCUUGCUCCCAGACGCCCACCCUUUGGCUGCCCAUGGGAUGGAAGCAUCAGCUCUUCCCAGACGCCCGCCACUCUUCUGCUGAACAUUCAUUCACACGUGCCUCAGGAAAAUCUUCGGACACGCACAUCAAGCCAUCUGGCAUGGGAGUGUUUAAUUUUGAGAGUGAUCUUUUGUUUAUUGAGAAGCAGACUCUUCAAGGGGAAAAAAAAAUCA
rnacentral:lncRNA from 1 species